rnacentral:tRNA from 2 species
GGGCUCGUAGCUUAGCCUGGAGAUGCAAUCGGGUAAUUAGAGCGCUACGCUGAUAACGUAGAGGCCGCCAGUUCAAAUCUGGCCGAGCCCA